ACGGGUGAGUAACGCGUGGAUAACCUACCUCAUACAGGGGGAUAACAGUUAGAAAUGACUGCUAAUACCGCAUAAGCGCACAGUACCACAUGGUACAGUGUGAAAAACUCCGGUGGUAUGAGAUGGAUCCGCGUCUGAUUAGCUGGUUGGCGGGGUAACGGCCCACCAAGGCAACGAUCAGUAGCCGGCCUGAGAGGGUGACCGGCCACAUUGGGACUGAGACACGGCCCAAACUCCUACGGGAGGCAGCAGUGGGGAAUAUUGCACAAUGGGCGAAAGCCUGAUGCAGCGACGCCGCGUGAGCGAAGAAGUAUUUCGGUAUGUAAAGCUCUAUCAGCAGGGAAGAAAAUGACGGUACCUGACUAAGAAGCCCCGGCUAACUACGUGCCAGCAGCCGCGGUAAUACGUAGGGGGCAAGCGUUAUCCGGAUUUACUGGGUGUAAAGGGAGCGUAGACGGCAUAGUAAGUUUGAAGUGAAAACCUGUGGCUCAACCAUAGGACUGCUUUGAAAACUACUAAGCUGGAGUGUCGGAGAGGUAAGUGGAAUUCCUAGUGUAGCGGUGAAAUG
rnacentral:rRNA from 1 species